rnacentral:rRNA from 1 species
GAUGAACGCUGGCGGCGUGCCUAAUACAUGCAAGUCGAGCGAACAGACUAGGAGCUUGCUCCUCUGACGUUAGCGGCGGACGGGUGAGUAACACGUUGAUAACCUACCUAUAAGACUGGGAUAACUUCGUGAAACCGGAGCUAAUACCGGAUAAUAUAUUGAACCGCAUGGUUCAAUAGUGAAAGACGGUUUUGCUGUCACUUAUCGAUGGAUCCGCGCCGCAUUAGCUAGUUGGUAAGGUAACGGCUUACCAAGGCAACGAUGCGUAGCCGACCUGAGAGGGUGAUCGGCCACACUGGAACUGAGAAACGGUCCAGACUCCUACGGGAGGCGGCAGUAGGGAAUCUUCCGCAAUGGGCGAAAGCCUGACGGAGAAACGCCGCGUGAGUGAUGAAGGUCUUCGGAUCGAAAAACUCUGUUAUUAGGGAAGAACAAUUGUGUAAGUAACUAUGCACGUCUUGACGGUACCUAAUCAGAAAGCCACGGCUAACUACGUG